GACGAACGCUGGCGGCGUGCUUAACACAUGCAAGUCGAGCGGUAAGGCCCUUUCGGGGGUACACGAGCGGCGAACGGGUGAGUAACACGUGGGUGACCUGCCCUUAGCUCUGGGAUAAGCCUGGGAAACUGGGUCUAAUACCGGAUAUGACUCCAUGACGCAUGUUGUGGGGUGGAAAGCCUUGUGCGGCUGGAGAUGGGCCCGCGGCCUAUCAGCUUGUUGGUGGGGUGAUGGCCACCAAGGCGACGACGGGUAGCCGGCCUGAGAGGGCGACCGGCCACACUGGGACUGAGACACGGCCCAGACUCCUACGGGAGGCAGCAGUAAGGAAUAUGCGCAAUGGGCGAAAGCCUGACGCAGCGACGCCGCGUGGGGAUGAAGGUCUUCGGAUUGUAAACCCCUUUCGGGAGGGGAAGAUGGAACGAGCAAUCGUUCGGACGGUACCUCCAGAAGCAGCCACGGCUAACUUCGUGCCAGCCGCCGCA
rnacentral:rRNA from 1 species